rnacentral:lncRNA from 1 species
CCAAGUAGCAUAUCAUAGCCGAUGCGAGGCAGAGUACAUUAUGACAUCCAAUGCUUCUAAGGAAGCAGUCUGGCUGUGAAAGUUCAUCAACAAGCAUGGAGUGACACCCUCCAUCGAUGGUUCAAUCAUGCUGUAUUGACAGUACUGAAGCAAUAGCUCAGGCUAAUGAAUAGUAGUCCCAUCAGAGAAUCAAGCAUAUUCUGCAUUGCUAUCACCUUGUACAAGAGGUCUGGAUCGAGGUAAGAGAUCUGGAUCGAGGUAACAUC